rnacentral:rRNA from 1 species
UACGUAGGGGGCUAGCGUUGUCCGGAUUUAUUGGGCGUAAAGAGCGUGUAGGCGGCCAGGUAGGUCUGGUGUGAAAACUCGAGGCUUAACCUCGAGAUGUCAUCGGAAACCAUCUGGCUAGAGUCCGGAAGAGGAGAGUGGAAUUCCUGGUGUAGCGGUGAAAUGUGCAGAUAUCAGGAAGAACACCAAUGGCGAAAGCAGCUCUCUGGGACGGUACUGACGCUGAGACGCGAAAGCGUGGGGAGCGAACAGG